rnacentral:lncRNA from 1 species
AUGUUUAAUUUAAGUAAAGAAAAAAACACUAAGAAGUGGCCCGCACUGUAUGUAACAAGUUCAUUCAGCUUUCACAUGGCAAUGAAACACUGGAAUAAUCUACCUCACGAAAUUUUAUUCAGACACACAUUACCAAAGUCCAUGACACAGUGGCGAUUCUUGAGAGUUGGCAACACUGUUUUCCUCCAUUUAAAUUCAUUAAAACUAUCGAUUCUCAAUAAGGUGAGUUGCCUCGCCAAGAAUCGAUUGCUUUGCAUAUAUUUAAAUGGAGGAAAAACAGUGUUGCCAUUUCUCAAGACUUGCCAUUGCCAUCCCGGAGUAAUAUAAUUAUAUGACCUAAUGUAUGGUAAGUGUAUUCAAGUAAAAUUUUUGACGCAAUAAUUUUAUUUUUAGGUUAGAUUGGAUAUUUUAUCGGACGAGGUAGUCUAUAGCUGUACUUAAUAAAUACGGUAAUUUACAUCAAUUUGAUCGUUUUUUGGUGAAGAAUAAUGAUGUGCUCUUACGUGCAUGCAUUUGAAGGUUCAUAUGAUCGAUUCAACAAUGGAAAAUAUGAUAGCAAAAUGGUCGAGCAUUUUAACUUUACGAUGAGGGCAUAUCUAUUCUUUCAAGAGUAGUAAAGUAUCAGUUAAUGACUGGCGAAAAUUUCUAUGGCCUAUAGUCACUUACAAAAAUUACUUUCCUUAUUUUGUCACCGCAGUGAUCUAAUAACCACUGUUACUAAUUAGAUAUAUAUGUACAAAGAAGACAUCGAAUCAAAAAUUCAUAUGAUACUUCUAGAAAGAUAUACCAAUUACAAACAUAUUUAUAAUUUUAUAUACACGCUCCUUAAAGGCUAAAAUUCUUCAACUGCUGCCUUUAAAAACUGGAAACACCUAAGUUACUGAGAUAGUCAGCACUUACUCCGAUUGUCACUUUAUUGAUCAACGGUAGCCAAUCAUUUCUUCUCAAUCACAAUCAAUUUUACAAUGUUCUUUACCAUUCAGAAAAAAUAAUAACAUUUUGACCUCAUUCUUACCUAAUUUGAUUCACUCUUUUGACUAAGUAUUUGAUAAAAUAUACUAAAACUUAAUUACGCAAAAACUAUACGGGUGGUAAUGAUAUGAUGAACACUUCUGACGAUUGUGGCAAUAAAGAGGGCCAAAAAUGAGAAAGCCUAGCCAACACAACCUACUGGAUCUCAGUGGCCGGAGAAAGUGUCCUUGCCUGCACCAAUUUAUGGAGAGAAAAAGCUGUCCUGCAGCCUGCAGGACAUUUUUGCGCCUUUGAAGAGUGAAAAGGGGGCAAUACUUAAACAGGUUCACUAAAUUGCACCCAGCUUCAAUUUGAACGAAUGAUAAGUCAGCUAAAUGCCUUCAUUUUUGGUCAUCGUUUCAUACUGCUCAAAAAUUACCUUUGUAAACAAGAGGGUCAAUUUCGCAUAGCCACACACAAUGAUACGAUUUGUACAAAUUACACGAGCUCUUUCUGUGUAAGUCCUAUAUUCAAUUUUUAGAACCUACAAAAAAAUGGACUUAAUUAUAUUUUUGGAGUAUAUGUAUUUAAAAUAGAGUAUAUAAUUUUAAUAUUUGUCGGAAAAGCUCAUCCGCAGGAAUAAAGUAGAGAAAAAUUACGCUAGUGUACGAAAAGGACCUAUAAUCCUAGCAUUACUAAUCUUAACCAGAAUAUACCAGUAUUGAAAGAAAAACAAACAAAUAACAGGCUCUAGAACGUAAAUAUACAUUGUAUAUGAAUGAUUCUUACUGUAUAUAAUUACUCGUUAUUAGGUAACAUUUAAAAAUUCGUAUGAGACCUUACAAAUUUAAUUCGAUGAUAACGAAUAUGAAAUGGAAUCUCCUAUUGUGAGAGACCUAUUGUGUAACCGUGCGGUGAAUAUUGACGGUGAAAUUACCGGACCAUAAAUCUCGAUUAGCAACGUUGCAGAUUUCCUUUCAUACAUUAUUUUCAGUGGCAUGGCGUGAAUGAUCAAUUAUCGAUAUCUCGCCAUUUGAAGCAUGCUAAAGAAUCGAUCCCUAAGGUGUUCGCUGAGAACACCCUGAUAAUCGAUCUUUUUUCAUAGGUUUGAGUGGCGUAUCAAUCGAUACAUCGCAAAGCAUGCCACGCCACUGAUUAUUUUUUAAAUGCAAAAAAACUACUCAACGUCAAUCCUUGAAAACUUCUGUGAUUUUUCUUCUUUAUGCGAGGAAAAUCUGUGAAAACUUCAAGGAAUGAUAUUGAUUUGUUCUCCUUCAAAAAUAAAAUUGGAACGAAGAUUUGUAUACACCACAGACGAGAUGAGUGGUCUGGUAGUUUUACCGUCGAUAUAUGCUUACUUAACAAUUUUAUAUGAGUUUGAGAAAGAUCGCGUGUUAACGUGGCAAAGGUUUGAUGUCGAAAACUGUAUAAUUUGAGAUAUUUUUCCUCUGACAGAAAUCCAAGGAAGACUUCCAAAAAAAACCCCAGGAAUCACGCCUUGAAUGCGUGUAUUAAUCUGACAUUUCUUCGACCUUCACUCGUCUUAUGGGGAUUCAACACUAUCACUCCAAGAUAUUUUAUAGAAUAUCUUUCAUACAACCACUGUUACGAAUUUCAGGUUCACACGACAAUUUUUAGGACGUUACUACCGUCUCCCCCCCCCCCCCCAAUCACUGCUACGUACAUUUUAAGCGAUUUCCCUUUCCCCAGUUUUUUUUCUUUUUUUUCUCUUCUACGACUUCGAGUUUUCUGAAAAAUGAAAGGUUAGAUAUUGGUCGAUGAGGCGGUAUAAGAAAGAAGGGUAGAGAGAAUUGCGAUGUAUCGAUUAUGCCAUUUAAACCUAUGGUAAAGAAUCGAUUAUUAAGUUGUUCGCUGCGAACGCUGCGAACACUGCGAACUGUUUACCAAUCCUUUUCCAUAGUUUUAAAUGACAAAAGAAUCGAUAUAUCGCAAAACACGCCACGCCACUGAUUCAAGCUGCAUGAACGCUGGCUUACAUCCAUGUCAGCCGAAUUUUGACCAUAGAUUUGCCUAGGAAAGCGCUGAAACUAACUCACUGAUAGGAUUCAGGUAUGAUUAAAGUAAAAUGAGAAAUACUAAUCCAAUAGGUCCAUAUGGCUGAGAAACACUAUCAUUGUGCGUUUUGUUUUUGUGAGUAGUUUCCUCUCCAUUUUUCCUUCCUCUCUUUUUCACCUCUAGUCGAUUAUUCGUGUCCCAGAAAAAGCAGCAAAUCUAAACUCGAAGGUUGUUUAUAAGCAGAGUGACCUGGGUCAACGUUGAAAUAAUAAGAGUUUGAUGAGUUCUUAAAAAGAUUAAAAGAUAAUUCGAACGAUAAUAUUAUAGUUCACAAAUGAACAAACAACGAUCUGAGAAAUUUUGUCAAACCCCUCAUCCUCAACCGUGUUUAACGCAUCAAAAACGCUGGCAACAGCACUCGCCCACUAUGUAGUGCAUAACACGUUUAAGCGGGAUCUGCGCGAGAAGCAUCAAACAGUUGCUGCAAAUCUCUGAAAUAGAUUUCUUUUGAAUUGUAAGCCCUUCCAGAUUGUUGUAUUUUACAAGCACAAGAAGGAUUCGUUGAGAAAUGAUAGUAAUGCCAGUAUCUCGGAGCAAGGUUCAAAAAGAUGAGAGGCAGGCUUAUUGGGAAUAGUUUAGAAAUUGUUUUUGAAAAGAACGAUAAUCUUCAAAGAACGUAGUAGAUUUAGUUUGAUGUUGCCAUGAGAUCAGACUGCGACACUAUAUGACACAUCGUAUUUCAUACGAGCCAUUCGAACUGUCAGACGUGAGUUCCUGUUCCGUAGGAUAUAUUGAUCACCGUCGCAGUGUCCGCAAGUUCUUCCGGCUUCAUGAUGAUACUUAAUCUCUGCAACAUACGAAUGACAUUUGAGUUGGACCUUACACCAGUUCAGAUAACGUUAAAAUUCAUACCUUCGGAAAAAACGAGAGGAACAGAACGUGACAUAUUUUAAUUUUAUAACUAGAUUGGAUUAAAUUUUGAAAUUAAACAAUUCGUUUAGAGGCGUUGCAAAAUGAAAGGGCAUACUGCCGUGCUAAGGAAGAACGCUGUAUGAACAUCCGACAGUUGCCAAAUUUCCUUCGAUAAAAUGUUCGUUUUUUAGGAAAGUUAUGAAUAUUUUUCCUUAAAAUUUUCAGAAUCCAUUGGUGAAAUUGCGAAAAAAAUUAUUAUUUAAUUAUUAAAAAGUUUUAUGGAAGGAAAUUUGGCAACGCCUGAAGGUUCAUACGGCGUUUUUCCUUAGCACGGCAGUAUAGAAGUGAGUUUUCCGACUCUCG